rnacentral:sRNA from 1 species
AAAAGAAGCCAUGAACAGAAGAUCCUCCAGUGGGAAGGGAAGCCGGGAAAAGCAGCCCUCCAGGGACCAUUCUGCCUGGAUUUGGAUAUGGGGAAGUCCUGGGCAGGAGGCCGAGGGGCAGAGGCACUGAAGCCUGAAACAGGGCACCCCCUCUCACAGAGGACUGCACCUUGGACCCUGCUGUCCCUUCAGCUGUCCAGAGCCCUUCCAGGCCAGAAGUGGCAAACAGUCCUGAGAGACAUGGAGGUCCUGGAGAUUCCUGGAGAGGGCCAGGCACCACUGUGGGCCUUGUCUAUUAGACGGAUUCCUCCACCAUCUCUCAUACCUCUCCUCCUUCGUGUACAGGGAGGGGGUGGGGAGAGGGGCGCCUCCUUGCAGCAGUCCCAGGGCCCCAAGGUGAGAAGUAAGAGGUGGGGAAGGGCCUCACCCUGCCCUGGGCUGUAGGGCCAGGCCAGGUACAGGGAGGUCCUUGUCCCAAAGACUCCAGAAUCAUAACCCUCAAGCACUUCCUACUGUGAGCUACAAAGCAAGCCAGGGUCCCCUCAGCAGGGUAUUAUGGCACCCCCACAUCCCAGCAGUGGAAGGACACUGGUGUGUCACUGAGCACACUGUCUUGCUCGACUGCAAGCCCGCAGCUUUGGCCUCAGCUGUUAAUCCUCUCAGG